UCAUAGGCUUACAGACCUUAGUGUAGGUGGUGUACCAGCCUCUCAGGAUCCCCUCUCUCUAUAACAGUUCCUUGCUGUUCCUUACUCCUAGAGAAGAUAGUGUCCUAAAUACAUUCUGCAGAAAUAACCAUGGGAAUUUAUAUAUCAAAACCAUCCUAUACAAUCCGUUAUCUAAACUCUAUAUAAGACUACCAUAAAUGAAACCCAGCCAAUUUACACCAGGGUACAGUAUGUCCUAUACUCUCUGCAGACUUUGUAAAUUGUAUUCACCCAUGAGGUCCUAAAGAUGGAUUUUAACCAGGAUCAUUAUGGCUAUUCAUUAAAUAACUGUUGUAUGUACUAGAAUCACAGGAAUUGGCACAUUAUGCAAAUUGUGAUUUGCAGAGGGUACUUGGAUCUGCAUGCAAGAUCAGACAGAACUCUUUUUUUUUUGGAAAAAUUACAUAAUGUAAUGCAUAGCAUGCCCCAGACCAGGCAGCAGGGUGCAGAUACAAACAGGAGGACCAGGCUUCUGUGCCCAUCCCAAGACGUCUCUCUAUGACUUUUAUUGUGGAGGGACUAUAGGGAACAAUUCCUUGGCCAUUAGGAGAAAGCAGAAUCAGAGCAGAAAUCCUGUCUCCUGCUUAUCCCAUCUGGCUGUAGGUUUUGGGUCUUGUGCCUUGUUGGUUCAACCCUUGCUCUGCUUUGAGUCCAGACAUCUCCUAUUUGGCAGACUGAAAUCUAAAGUGUUUCAGAGUUGAGACUGUGCUAAGAUUUGAAUAUAUAAAGCAGGAAUUAAAUGUCUUCCUCAUGCUUGCAUCAUGUAAAUUAUUCUUUCUAAUUGCACAGUAUUUAACACAUGUAAUAGAACUGAAAGCCUUGUUUGACCAUAGCAGGUAACCAGAAUUUGGAGUCUUUGCUGGUUUCUAUGAAGAGAAGAAAUUGAUGGUAGAAAUAGAUCAUUCUUUGAUGCAUUCCCGUUUAUUUACAAGGGAGGCAUUUUCUGAGACAGUGGUGCUCAACCUAUGGCUCACAGACUGGAUCCAGCCCCCAAAGUAACUAUAUCCAGCCAACAGCACAGAAGAUGAGUAGCAAAUAGCUCUGCCCAGCCCAUUCCCUUCCUUCAAAAUGAAACUCUUCCAGACUUAUGGAUCUGAUGAAGGCUUCAGUAGGAUGUGUCCUGGAGAUCAGAUCCUGCCUCAGUCAUUAUUGUUCAUUAAGGAUGUCAUCGGAUGACAAAACACUGCUUCAAAGGAAGAGUAAAGAACACUACCACCCUGGAGCAGCUGAGACCCUGGUAGUGAGGACACUCUCCAGAGAAGUGGAAGGUGUGUGUUUGUACCCCCUCAGAGAGAGGAAGGAACUGAACCCAGGUCUCCCACAUCAUGAGUAAAUGCCCUGAGCUAUUGCAUCAAAAGCACUAUCUCCCCCCUGGUUAUUUUAAAAGAAAGGAGCAAACUCCAGUCCAAAAGGGUUUAAAUGCCUAAUUCCAGGAGAGGAGUCAGGGCUAUGAAUCCCAAGUAGAAUUAGCUAUGGAAGCCCUGAAGGGGGCAUGGCAUGCCUCUUCCUCAGCAUUUCAUUUUGGCCAUCUUAGGUUGUCUCCACUUAACGUGCCAGGUGUUCUGAAGCCCCUAACUUUCCUCAGGUACAGAAGUUUAGGGGCCUAACUAUGGACUUUGGAUUUCACUCUGCUCCUCCUCCUUCUCAGUUUUCCAUGUAAGACAACCCAAGAGUGCACCGCCACAUGUGCUGAGAGUGCUGCUCUGUGCCUGUUCAUCCAGCACCCCUCCCCUGGAGAACCACAAUAGUGUGAGAGGUGUUCAGAUUUUCCCAGCAUUCACUGGUACAAAUGCAGCCAAUAACAUGCAAAAGCUCUAAGCUAGUGACAGGCUGUGGCUGACUAGAUGGUUAGAAAAGUUGCUGGGUGAGCAUUAUCGAUGCUAGAUGUAACUAGGGCUGCUACGAACUGCUUACUACCAUAAUUGUAAUGUUGACACAUCUAACCACAGUUCACCACUUAGGAGUGUGAGCUGCGGGUGACAGGCAGAGCUCUUUCCUCUCUUUGCUGAAUUAAACAUAAGGGAGGACAAGGGUUUGACAUCUUUGCUGCUACAAUAGGAUAACUAGAAGCAGUUUUCUUCAGGUAUCGAGAUAACACUGAGGAAGCUUCUUUACAGUGAAGAAGGCUAGA